CAGUAGCCACGGGAACACGGAGGGGGCUAGCGUUGUUCGGAAUUACUGGGCGUAAAGCGCACGUAGGCUGCUUUGUAAGUUAGAGGUGAAAGCCUGGUGCUCAACACCAGAACUGCCUUUAAGACUGCAGAGCUAGAACGUCGGAGAGGUGAGUGGAAUUCCGAGUGUAGAGGUGAAAUUCGUAGAUAUUCGGAAGAACACCAGUGGCGAAGGCGGCUCACUGGACGACUGUUGACGCUGAGGUGCGAAAGCGUGGGGAGCAAACAGGAUUAGAUACCCCAGUAGUCCCUGUCUCUUAUAC
rnacentral:rRNA from 1 species